CUUUUCUAAGUGGAGCGUCCUGAUCCAUGAUCAGGAGACGUAUUUUUAAAAAGGAUCGUUUGAUUAAAUGGGUACUCUUGAAGAAAUAUCUUCAAGUCCUUGAACACUGGGGAUGAAAUAUUGUGAAGAUUAAACAAAAUGCGAAACACCCACCAUUAAAAGGAGACAGUGAAAAGUGCAUAUAAUUAAAAUAGGCCAUGUUCAAUGGCCUUCAUCCACAAAUAAAGAUGUGCUGUCCACCAAUUCCUCUACACAGAAUCUUGAGGGACAAAGAUUUUCA
rnacentral:lncRNA from 1 species